rnacentral:rRNA from 1 species
GACGAACGCUGGCGGCGUGCUUAACGCAUGCAAGUCGAGCGAGAAAGCACCUUCGGGUGUGAGUACAGCGGCGAACGGGUGAGUAACACGUGGGCAACCUGCCCCAGAGACUGGGAUAACGUCCCGAAAGGGACGCUAAUACCGGAUGAUGCGCGAUCUGCCAAGUAGGUCGCGCCAAAUGGUAGCUUCGGCUUCUGCUCUGGGAUGGGCCCGCGCCGGAUUAGCUUGUUGGUGAGGUAACGGCUCACCAAGGCGACGAUCCGUAGCUGGUCUGAGAGGACGAUCAGCCACACUGGGACUGAGACACGGCCCAGACUCCUACGGGAGGCAGCAGUGGGGAAUCUUGCGCAAUGGGCGAAAGCCUGACGCAGCAAUGCCGCGUGAGCGAAGACGGCCUUCGGGUUGUAAAGCUCUGUCAGGUGGGACGAAGCCACUCAGGUGAAUAGCCGAGAGGGUGACGGUACCCCCAGAGGAAGCCCCGGCUAACUACGUGCCAGCCGCCGCUGUAAAAC